rnacentral:lncRNA from 1 species
AUGAUCAGUUACAUGAUGCCAAAACUCUUAGGAGUCAAUAGAUUUGUAUCCGACGACUGCUAUUAUAUUGAUGUUUCAUCAGAGCCAACAUUAGUUUUUGUUAAAGUUUUAACUCUUUGCAUUUGCAUUGUUUUUAGCAUAUUUUAUUUGCACCACCUAAUGUUCCAUAUGUUCUACUAGAUCCUUUGCACGCACAUGUUUGGAUGUUGUCUGAAAAAGAACUGAGAGGUUUUUGUCACUUAAAGAUCAUCCAAUCCUUUAAAGUUGUGUGGUCUUCAAAAAGAAGGCUUCACAGUUGUGAUAAUUGCAGAUCCAUUUCAAAUCAAAAUUAUAGACUAGAAAUGUCCUCGAGCGAAGCCACGGGGGCCAAACUAAUUUAAACUUUGAUUCCGGCCAACCUAACUUUCAAGAACCGUAAAGUUUUUGGGCAACCCUUGCCGGACCCGAGCCCACCUUAAACACUUGAAAUUAUUUAUCCAGCAUGAAAAAAAUUACGUAAAUGCUUAUAUUGAUGCUUCUUUAAAUUAUUUUCAAUUCUAAAUUACGUAAAUUCUUUAAAUUGUUCUGAUAAAUCUCUUGUGAUAUAGCUUUUACUUCAGAAUUGCAUAAUCACAUUGUGCAUUGUAUGCCAAAACAAUGCUGAUUGCACUGCUAGCUCCAGUCAUGUAAUUGAUCAUGCAGUGCUUCAGGUUCAGCAAUGUCUAGAAAGAACGCAUAUUCAUCUCGUCUAUGGGAAAGGUUGUGUAAUAAUUUUAUCCUAUCCAAUUUUUAUAUAAUUUUUGCCAUUCAUUGUGAUUAUCUGAUUCUUUUCCCAAUUUCUCCCUACUUUUCUCUGCAAUGUAAAUUUUGCACAAAUCUACUCUCGUUUACAAGCUUCUUAUGCUUCUCCUUUACAGGCAAGCAGAACAAUCCUUUGAAGAUUCCCUUUUU